UCUCCCUCAAAGGCUUCCA
rnacentral:miRNA from 1 species